rnacentral:sRNA from 1 species
GUGGCACUUGCUCUCGAGAGGGGUGUGGCCUUUGCAAGCUCGUUCUUCCCCAUACUGUGCUGAUUAUGAGUUUGACUCUCCCCGAUCUCCUAUUUUCCCUGUGUAUGUGGGUUUUUGUUUAUCGCACUCUUCUGCUAUUUCCAAUUUUCGAUAGUGAGGGGGGAACAAAACCAUUCUACACACCAACCCAAUUGUGCCGAAGGACGUAUUUUCUGAACACACAACCACACACACGCCUACAUGGAAAAAGAAUGGUAUUUCAUACAUCUAAAUUCCCGGAGUUUGGUGAUUGUUUUCUUGGGAAA